rnacentral:lncRNA from 1 species
CCAUACAUAUCACAAUUAUUCUCUACAACUUCCGCUAGUACAUGACACUACUACAUGUAAUAUCCACUUUUUACCAACAAAAAACUACUAGAUGAUCCUUAACAACAUCCACUGCUUACUAAUAUUCUUAACAAUAUCCACUGGCUAUAAGUAAUAUCUACCUUCUGCCAACAAAAUACUAUUAUAUAAUCCAUUGUUAAUAUUAAAUUACUACUUUCUCCAAAAUAUAGCCCCAAAAGAAGACAGUUACAUCACAUUACAAAAGAAGAUGUUGAGAAAAUGACCUUUACAACAUGUUGCCACUCCUUCACCUUGCUAAGUUUGCUUCUUGCCUCCUAACGGUUGCAUUCCUUUGUAUGUGAUAAGAGUUAUCAGUGGCUGGGUCGACAUAUGUUCCAUGUCCCUGCAUGGCGAUGUUUAGCUCCCUUUUACGUAUUUGGGACUGCGUGUCCAAAUCUACUCAAGCCUAUGAAACAAAAUCACAUAAAUUACAAGUUUUUAAAUUUUUGGAUUUUGACCUAAUGACUAAUGUAACAUUGUUACACAUUCUACAUACCUGAAUUUCAAGUUCAACAUGGCAACGAUGAGUAUUGUGUCUAGUGGUGCCACACUUCCCACAAAUUAUUGUCUUUUUAACAGGCCUGUUUUGAACCAUUUGUUUCCUCUCUUUGGUUCUCCUCCUUCUAACCCCACCUUAUUCAACCUGUUUAAUUUGUGAUUCAGUUGAACCAUCAGCGUGUUAACCAGUUCCCUCCCCGUUGCUUUUUUGGUGGUCAUUCCCCCCUUCCAUUUCCCAUUUAGAACAGUUCUUUGUGUUAUGUCCCCAAUUUUCACAAGACUUGCAAUGCAUCCGAAUUCCUCUCCUAUCAAUCACUGUUCCAACCCCACUUUUGGUAGGUCUGACCUCCAGUUUUUGUGCUUCCUUACGACGUGAUUUUUUAGGACUUUCAGGAAGGAUCCUCGUAAAUGAUGGAUGAAUAACGGAUCUUUGUGCUUCCUCCCACGCUUGAUUGCCAGGUAACAUAGGAAUCCCACCGCUGGGUCUGCCAUUGGUUAUAAAUAAGAUGAACAACCUCUCAAGCUAAGGCAAUAUCGUUUACCAGGGUACGUACCUUUUCUGUAUGAGUUAUGUGUCCAAUUGCUGUUCAUUAUAAAGAGAAGGAAAAGCAGCAGUUAAACUGGAUCCAUCUCAAGUUCAUUUAUCAACAUCAGAAUGAAGACUGUAACUUAGAGAGAAUUGCCUGUAAUAGGAGCAGUGCCUCCAAGUGAUUCACACCUGUUCCAAAACCAUCAUCCUUAAUUUCCCCAAGAUUCAGACUAAGAUUCAUAUCAUUUAACAGCAACAAUAAGUGAACAGUUACCUGGAUUUCCAGGGACAAAGAGGACAUGCAGCGUUGGAUUGUCAGAUUGAAUCUCCAGCAGUUCAGUUGUAUAACUACUCAGAAGAAGAAGAGGGGGAAACUCAGAAUUGAGAAACCAAAACACAAUAAGAUAAAACAACAGAGGAGGAUUUUCUUUCACGCCAUAUCUAACUACCUGGAAACCUUGCACACCCGCAGAUGCGCAGCCUUAAGAACUCGACCGCCCAAAUACUCAACCCAUUUCUGAAUUCACAGAACCUAAUCCACCCAAUUUGCUGAAAGCCUGAAAGGUCCAAGAUUGGCAAUUCAGACCAAUGCGGCUGCGAGACAAAUGGGAAAUGCGUGAAACAGGAAGAAUUUAACUCAUGCAUCUGAGUAAACAAUACAUAAUUUGACAACUGUCGGAGAGACUGAACCGAUUAGCUAACACUAGUUUAGCAGCAUGCAGUGACGAAGACGCAACGAUUUGAAUGGAGGCAACAGGAGGAGAAGAUGUUUGAUGAAGGUAGAAAACGAAGCACCACAUUACUUAGGUGUAGUUUUCCGCCAUGGAAUUCGAAUCCCAGUGGAGUUGUCAAUGAUUG